AGAGAUUCGACGAGCACUGCCUGUUUUAAGAAAAACGAAACGUACGAGAGGUGUGUAUUCAACAUCAAGGAGUCAUUUCAUGGUUUCCUCACAGACCUCACGCUUAACAUUAAGUUGUGCACUUUUAAUGAAAUUGGGGAUUCAUUGAUUUGUGACCAGAUCGUUUUUGGAACCAACGACAAGAAUAUUAAGCAAGCUGUUCAGAAAAUCCAACUGAAAAGGGAUGCCAAUCAAGGCUGUGGUGCAUUCCCAGAGGAGAGUGCCAGUGACACUUCGUGGCAGCCUGAAUAAGGAGGUGGCCAGGAGGACAAAGUUUGGGGUCAUUGAACAUGUGGAACAACUGACUCCACCACCUGUGGAAGG
ensembl:lncRNA